rnacentral:rRNA from 1 species
UACGAAGGGGGCUAGCGUUGUUCGGAAUCACUGGGCGUAAAGGGCGCGUAGGCGGCUUUGUAAGUCGGGGGGUGAAAGCCUGUGGCUCAACCACAGAAUUGCCUUCGAUACUGUAGAGCUUGAGACCGGAAGAGGUAAGUGGAACUGCGAGUGUAGAGGUGAAAUUCGUAGAUAUUCGCAAGAACACCAGUGGCGAAGGCGGCUUACUGGUCCGGUUCUGACGCUGAGGCGCGAAAAGCGUGGGGGAGCAAACAGG